rnacentral:rRNA from 1 species
GACGAACGCUGGCGGCGUGCUUAACACAUGCAAGUCGAACGGAAAGGCCCUGCUUUUGUGGGGUGCUCGAGUGGCGAACGGGUGAGUAACACGUGAGUAACCUGCCCUUGACUUUGGGAUAACUUCAGGAAACUGGUGCUAAUACCGGCUAGGAGCUCCUGCUGCAUGGUGGGGGUUGGAAAGUUUCGGCGGUUGGGGAUGGACUCGCGGCUUAUCAGCUUGUUGGUGGGGUAGUGGCUUACCAAGGCUUUGACGGGUAGCCGGCCUGAGAGGGUGACCGGCCACAUUGGGACUGAGAUACGGCCCAGACUCCUACGGGAGGCAGCAGUGGGGAAUAUUGCACAAUGGGCGGAAGCCUGAUGCAGCAACGCCGCGUGCGGGAUGACGGCCUUCGGGUUGUAAACCGCUUUCGCCUGGGACGAAGCGUGAGUGACGGUAAUGGGUAAAGAAGCACCGGCUAACUACGUG